UGGGGAAUCUUGCGCAAUGGGCGAAAGCCUGACGCAGCCAUGCCGCGUGAGUGAUGAAGGCCUUAGGGUUGUAAAACUCUUUCACCGGGGACGAUAAUGACGGUACCCGGAGAAGAAGCCCCGGCUAACUUCGUGCCAGCAGCCGCGGUAAUACGAAGGGGGCUAGCGUUGCUCGGAAUUACUGGGCGUAAAGGGCGCGUAGGCGGAUCAGCAAGUUGGGGGUGAAAGCCCGGGGCUCAACCUCGGAAUUGCCUUCAAAACUGCUGAUCUAGAGUACGGGAGAGGUGUGUGGAACUCCGAGUGUAGAGGUGAAAUUCGUAGAUAUUCGGAAGAACACCAGUGGCGAAGGCGACACACUGGCCCGUUACUGACGCUGAGGCGCGAAAAGCGUGGGGAGCAAACAGGAUUAGAUACCCUGGUAGUCCACGCUGUAAACGAUGAUUGCUAGUUGUCGGCAGGCAUGCCUGUCGGUGACGCAGCUAACGCAUUAAGCAAUCGCCUGGGGAGUNCGGUCGCAAGAUUAAAACUCAAAUGAAUUGACGGGGUCAUAGCUGUUUCCUG
rnacentral:rRNA from 1 species